UAACAUCUUCAAUAUUGAGUGUAUCAUGACUAAAUAGGAAUGUGUUUCUAAACAAAAUAUAUGAAGCAGGCAACAAACACAACAAAGUCAAAUCUAAACCUUCUUUAUCAUAUUUGACUUCAAAUGUCUUUAAAUCAGUGACGUACUCCUUAAAUACGGCUAGGUUCAAGAGACGUACAUUCUGUCAUACGAUGAGAAUAAAGAUGAUGCUCCAAGUGCAAUUUGCUAAUAAAACUCUUCGUCGUGCACAAUUGUUCCAAUUUUUACCAUAACAUAGCAAUGAACUUCUCCUUCAAAACAUCUUGAAAACUGUUAUUCAAAAGAUGAAUUUGAGAUAGAGCUUUCUGAUCCCUUCAUUAUUUCUUCUCUUGAUUUCAAGUUGUGAACACUUCUUAAAUCCGAAUAAUGCAUUGUCCAAAUCCAUUUGAACUAAUAUUGCUUGCAUCUUUACCUAUCAUAACAAAAAUCAUGUGGAGCGAUCCAAAAUCGGAAUAUUAUGCUUCUUAAUUGCCAUAAAAAAAUC
rnacentral:lncRNA from 1 species